ACUUGUCAUAGUUGCAAAUAUCCGUUUCAUAAAAGCAAUAACAAAUUGUUAUCGUAAAUAAAAAUAAAUAAAUGAAAAAUAGUUCGUGAACGAGCCUGAUUUGCAGCUAACAGCCGGUUUUUUUCUUCACACACGUCGUCUGCGAUAAAAUUUUGAUGGUGACAGAAUUGAAGUAAAAUUUGAAUCGGAGAUAUGGCAGCAGGAGCAAAUGUUGGUCGUGAUGAGGCGUAUACCACCAUCAACAAUGCUGCAAUUGCAGUCACCACCACCACUGCUGCCACCACCAUCAGUGCUACUAAUGCCACCACCACCAAGUCUGCUUCUGCCACUGCCAUCACCAUUGCCACCGCCACUACCAAGACCACUCCUGACACAAAGCCCCCAAGUCCUCAACUGAUUGCAGCUGGAGAAGGAUAGACCAGGAACUUCAAAGUCAGGGCUUGCCGGUCUCCUACAAUAAGAAAAAUGCCAAGGGCCCAUCUAAUGAACUUGUUGCAGAAUAUUUGGCCACAGUUGUAGAAAAGCAGAGACUAACAUGCAGCCACAGGUGAGGCUUUGUCCACAUUUCCAGAAAGACACAAGAUAGUAUCAGAAAGCCAUGCCAAAAUCAACGACUGAAGGGUUUGGAGAGCCAUACAAAGAGCCUAGAAAUGUGAUUUCACCUGUACUUCAAUCACAUGAACAGCAGCAGGAGCAAAAACAGCAGCAACCACACAGGAGAUGUAACGACAGCAUUGACCAACAGCAGCUUAAAAAACUUCUGCAGG